GCAUCCGUAGCUCAGCUGGAUAGAGUACUCGGCUACGAACCGAGCGGUCGGAGGUUCGAAUCCUCCCAGAUGCACCA
rnacentral:tRNA from 9 species